rnacentral:lncRNA from 1 species
AAAAGAUGUAAAUCUCCAAAAUGCAGAAGUACAGCAAAAUAACAAAUAUGUAUUAAUUUGGACUAGAAUGAUGCAUCCCAUUUGAUACAUGAAGCUGUAGAUUACUCAUGUAAUGGAGACCCAUUAGCAUACCACACCCCUAAUAUUAUAAAGAGUCUUGACAUGUGUUCUAUGGGUUUGCAUGCAUUUACAUUACUAUUUAUUAACACAUUUACUAAGGGACAGUACUACAGGGUAUUAGAAUGACAUUACAUUUUUCUGUGUUAGGGAGGCGUAAACCACCAGCAACACUCUCAAAACCAGACCGGCCUGAUGAAUAUAGUGCUACUGCAUCUCCACGGCCAGGACCCCCCGCAGUUGCUGGCCAGUCUUUCUCUGGAUUCCCUGCAGCCACUACUGGGUACCCCUCAACUCAGUUGGAGGAGAAGCAUGCUGUUCCACCAAUGCCAAGCUAUGAGCAGGAUGUGAUAAGAUGGCACUGCUCUCAACAGCAGAGAAUCUGGAUGAAAACAGAAAUGGAAGCCUUGGGACUGUGGCCAGGUUCUAGACCGGUGAGACAUCCAAUGAACAUGAUCUCUUUGUGGCGUUACCCACCUCAGCCUGAGCUUAUUGAUGCUGUCUAUGAGCUGCCAUCACCGAAAUACUUUCAACUUCAUCCAUUCUUCAUUUGGAAACCAGAGCACACCAUUAUGGAAAGAGUCCGCAACAACUACACUCUGCCAUGUCUGUACGGCUGUCCGAAUCCCCACGUUGUCUCAUCAGGAGUUGGACGACCCCGUGUCAUUAUUGGUACAAGCAGCCAGUACUACAUACUGGCCUCUCGGCUCAGCUGUAAAGGCUGUAAAAAGUACUGGUUUGCAGACAAACCCCAAUGGAUGGACAUGCUGUCGAGUCGGUUCUCAGUCAUUCUGAGACACAGCAAAGUCUCCCAAUGAUAUGGCCAAUCAGUUGAAUGAAGCUCUCCACCUCAAGUAUGAGCGUGCACACCUGGCUUACCUGUCCACUGUUAAGAAUGUGCUGGAUGGAGACGGUGGUCUUUAUGGUCAGCAGACCAUCACAGGGGCACUAAGAGCAACAAAUACUCCUGCUCCAUUUGGUGAGUAUGGUGAUGUUGUUGGCUGUUGCGGAGUAACAGUCUCGCCCCACUAUUUGGUUGACUGCCUCAUUCAGGAGUACCAUAGGCAGGAGAGCACACUCAAUCUGCUCCUCCAAGGCACGUUUGGACAAGCAUUAAGGGCUGACCAUACCCGCAAGGUGGCCCGGAAGGUUGUGCUUGCAUCAGGUACUAUGUCAUCCUACGCUGUGAUGAACGAAAACUGGAUGAUCUUGUCCUGGGUGAUGCUGCAGUCUGAAAGUGAUAAAUCGCUGCAGCCAAUGUAUGAGGGGCUGUCUCGUCGUUACAUUUUUGCAGGACUGCCAAAAGCCAACUACCAGUGGGUUGACAGAGAUUGCUGUGCUGCCUUCAGGAUCCCAAACCCUGAACCCCUGGAGCACCUCCUCUGGGAUCCUUGGAAGACCACUGAGGCUAUAGUGCUGCCUUACUUGUCUCACAGACAGACACCAAAGAAAGGUUUGGACUGCAGUAUGUGGAGCCUGGUUGUCGUCCUGUCCCCUUGGACUGGGACAAGCACAAGUCCCAGAAGGUACCUGUUGCAUGGGAGGGAGAGCAUCAGUCCUCAUAACCGUCUGCUCUCAGUGAGAGAUUCCCACCUCAUGACCCACCUGAGGAGCUGAGGGGGGAACACUUUGCUCAGCCUGGGCAGCCCACCAAAGUAAAAGGUAAUUCAGUUCACAUCUUCAUCCCUUAAUUAUUCCUUAUUUAUAUGAAUACUACAGAUAUUUCAGAGAUAAAAGUGAAAAUGUAUUAUUUUCUGGCCUU